rnacentral:rRNA from 1 species
AGAGUUUGAUCAUGGCUCAGGACGAACGCUGGCGGCGUGCUUAACACAUGCAAGUGGAGCGACGAACCAGGGCUUGCCCUGGGGCAGAGCCGCGAACGGGUGAGUAACACGUGGGUAACCCACCCCGAUGAUCGGGACAACCCGGGGAAACUCGGGCUAAUACCGAAUGUGCCUUCAGUUCAUGAGGACUGAAAGUAAAGAUAGCUUCGGCCUUCGCAUCGGGACGGGCCCGCGGCCCAUUAGCUUGUUGGUGAGGUAACGGCUCACCAAGGCGACGAUGGGUAGCUGGUCUGAGAGGACGAUCAGCCACACUGGGACUGAGACACGGCCCAGACUCCUACGGGAGGCAGCAGUGGGGAAUCUUGCACAAUGCGCGAAAGCGUGAUGCAGCAACGCCGCGUGGGGGAAGAAGGCCUUCGGGUUGUAAACCCCUUUCAGUUGGGACGAAGCUUCAACGGUGAAUAGCCGUUCGGAGUGACGGUACCUUCACAAGAAGCCCCGGCUAACUACGUGCCAGCAGCCGCGGUAAUACGUAGGGGGCUAGCGUUGUCCGGAAUCAUUGGGCGUAAAGAGCGUGUAGGCGGCCCGGUAAGUCCGCUGUGAAAGUCGGGGGCUCAACCCUCGAAUGCCGGUGGAUACUGUCGGGCUAGAGUGCGGAAGAGGCGAGUGGAAUUCCUGGUGUAGCGGUGAAAUGCGCAGAUAUCAGGAGGAACACCAAUUGCGAAGGCAGCUCGCUGGGACGUAACUGACGCUGAGACGCGAAAGCGUGGGGAGCAAACAGGAUUAGAUACCCUAGUAGUCC